GACGAACGCUGGCGGCGUGCUUAACACAUGCAAGUCGAACGAAGUGGCGAACGGGUGAGUAACGCGUAAUCAACCUGCCCUUCAGAGGGGGACAACAGUUGGAAACGACUGCUAAUACCGCAUACUGAAUGAGGGGAUUGCGUCUGAUUAGGUAGUUGGAGGGGUAACGGCCCACCAAGGCGAGGAUCAGUAGCCGGGCUUAUAGGAUUAACGGCCAAAAUGGGAAUGGGACAAGGCCCAGAAUCCUACGGUAGGCAGCAGGGGGGAAGCGUCCGAAAUGGACGAAAGGCUGACGGAAGAAAGCCGGGGGAGUGAGGACGGCCUUCGGGUUGUAAAGCUAUGUUAAUCGGGACGCGGUACCGGAAUAGGAAGCCACGGCUAACUACGUGCCAGCAGCCGCGGUAAUUC
rnacentral:rRNA from 1 species